rnacentral:rRNA from 1 species
CAGCCGCCGCGGUAAUACGUAGGGUGCGAGCGUUAAUCGGAAUUACUGGGCGUAAAGGACGCGUAGGCGGAUUAUCAAGUCUCUUGUGAAAUCUAACGGCUUAACCGUUAAACUGCUUGGGAAACUGAUAAUCUAGAGUAAGGGAGAGGCAGAUGGAAUUCUUGGUGUAGCGGUGAAAUGCGUAGAUAUCAAGAAGAAUACCUAUUGCGAAGGCGAUCUGCUGGAACUUAACUGACGCUAAUGCGUGAAAGCGUGGGGAGCAAACAGGAUUAGAUACCCCCGUAGUCCCUGUCUCUUAUAC